CAGUAGCGUAUAUUAAAGUUGUUGCAGUUAAAAUGCUCGUAGUUGAAGUUCGGAUGCAGCAGAGCUUGGAAACGCUGUUAUGGUGCUUCCGUUGCGUUUGCUUGUCCACAGUGCGUUGCAAGUACGUAUGUGCUUGUGCGUGCAUUUUACUUUGAGAAACAUAGGGUGUUCCACGCAUGUUACGGCAUGAAUAUUCCAGCAUGGGAUAAUCUGGUACGACUUCCAAUCUGCCAUUUUGGUUCGUAGGUUGGAAGUAAUGAUUAAUAGGGACUGUCGGGGGCAUUGGUAUUUGACUGUCAGAGGUGAAAUUCUUAGAUUCGUUGAGGACCAACCACUGCGAAAGCAUUUGUCAAGGAUGUCUCCAUUAA
rnacentral:rRNA from 1 species